GUUUAAAUUGAAAUGAAGAUCAAUGUCCAGCACUUUCAAGCAUGAUGGGUGUGUACACAUUUUGGGAGCAGCUCUGUAAGUUUGAUGGAAGGAAUGUCCAGGAAAGCAGGAGGUGACACAGGUGUGAGGGACAGAUGGCAGAGUUCUUCCCACAGCUCCUGAAGUGGCCAGAGCUGCCCAGGCUUGUUCCACAGCAGUGAAUCCCUCUGCCUGGCAUACCCUGACUUUCUAUAAUACAAAAUGAAUGAACCAAAGCAGA
rnacentral:lncRNA from 12 species